GGGGUUGUGGCUCAAUGGUAGAGCGCUCACCUAGCAUGCGUGAGGCCCUGGGUUCGAACCUCAACACCACA
rnacentral:tRNA from 1 species